rfam:Branchiostoma floridae genomic scaffold BRAFLscaffold_93, whole genome shotgun sequence.
AUGCCUUAAACUAAUGAGUAAGGAAAAUAACGAGCCGGAGUGACGACCGGCUCCUAGCUCAGUUGCUAGAAGAAUUUUUUAGGGGGUACAGGUCGCCCUCGAGUGACCCGCUUACUUCGCGGGAUGCUCGUGUGUAGUGAUCUGCCCC